GACGUAGGGCGCGAGCGUUGUCCGGAUUUAUUGGGCGUAAAGAGCUCGUAGGCGGCUUGUUGCGUCGUCCGUGAAAACCUGGGGCUCAACUCCAGGCUUGCGGACGAUACGGGCAGGCUAGAGUUCGGUAGGGGAGACUGGAAUUCCUGGUGUAGCGGUGAAAUGCGCAGAUAUCAGGAGGAACACCGGUGGCGAAGGCGGGUCUCUGGGCCGAUACUGACGCUGAGGAGCGAAAGCGUGGGGAGCGAACAGG
rnacentral:rRNA from 1 species